rnacentral:lncRNA from 1 species
CUUCACCAGAUGAAUGCCCAACCUCUUGGGCAUGAAGAGGGGAGAGGUAUUACUAAGGAGGACAUAGAGAAGAGGAGUGGUGGCUGGCUUUUGCUGGGUUUGGCACUAUCACUAGAAACUCUAGGUGCAGACAGGGUUUAUAUAGACCUUGCUGCGCUGCGCAGUGUCACAUCAUUCGACUAAUCAAAAAAUUUCAAUAAAUUUGAAAAAAUUUUGAUUGGUGGAGUGAUGUCAUUUGAUCACAUCAGAUAAAAAACCAAGCCUCUCUCCAAGAGUUGGCACCA